rnacentral:rRNA from 1 species
GACGAACGCUGGCGGCAUGCCUAAUACAUGCAAGUCGAGCGAACAGAUGAAGUGCUUGCACUUCUGACGUUAGCGGCGAACGGGUGAGUAACACGUAAGGAAUCUACCUAUAAGCGGGGGAUAACAUUCGGAAACGGGUGCUAAUACCGCAUAAUAUCUUCUUCCGCAUGGAAGAAGAUUGAAAGACGGCUCUGCUGUCACUUAUAGAUGACCUUGCGGUGCAUUAGUUAGUUGGUGGGGUAACGGCCUACCAAGACGAUGAUGCAUAGCCGACCGGGGAGGGUGAUCGGCCACAUUAGGACUGAGACACGGCCCAAACUCCUACGGGAGGAAGCAGUAGGGAAUCCUCCGCAAUGGGCGAAAGCCUGACGGAGCAAUGCCGCGUGGGUGAAGAAGGCCUUCGGGUCGUAAAACUCUGUUAUAAGAGAAGAACAAAUUGUAGAGUAACUGCUACAGUCUUGACGGUAUCUUAUCAGAAAGCCACGGCUAACUACGUGCCAGCCGCCGCCGUAA